AGGCUGGACGAGGAAGACAUCGUCUCCUACGUCCUCGCCGGGCUCGACUCGGACUACAACUCCAUCGUCUCCGCCAUGUGCUCCCACGUCGAACCUGUCACCGUCGCGGAGCUGUACUCGCAGCUUCUCAGCUACGAGA